rnacentral:misc_RNA from 1 species
GAUGAAGAACGUAGCGAAAUGCGAUAAGUAGUGUGAAUUGCAGAAUUCAGUGAAUCAUCGAGUCUUUGAACGCACAUUGCGCCCCCUGGUAUUCCGGGGGGCAUGCCUGUCCGAGCGUCAUUGCUGCCCUCAAGCACGGCUUGUGUGUUGGGCCCCGUCCUCCGAUCCCGGGGGACGGGCCCGAAAGGCAGCGGCGGCACCGCGUCCGGUCCUCGAGCGUAUGGGGCUUUGUCACCCGCUCUGUAGGCCCGGCCGGCGCUUGCCGAUCAACCCAAAUUUUUAUCCAGGUUGACCUCGGAUCAGGUAGGGAUACCCGCUGAACUUAAGCAUAUCAAAGCGGAGGA